rnacentral:ribozyme from 1 species
CGGAAACCACUUAGCCCACCUCCGGACUCACACCGGAGAAAAGCCGUAUGUCUGCUAUCAGUGCGGGAGAGGCUUUGCACAGCAGUCGAAUCUCAAGCGCCAUCUGAGAGGGGUGCACUCUAUAUACACUCCAACCAAGCAGCAGAUGUGGCCGAGCCG